CUACGGGCGGCUGCAGUGGGGAAUAUUGCACAAUGGGGGAAACCCUGAUGCAGCAACGCCGCGUGGAGGAUGACGCAUUUCGGUGUGUAAACUCCUUUUAUAUCCCAAGAUAAUGACGGUAGGAUAUGAAUAAGCACCGGCUAACUCGCGUGCCAGCAGCCGCGGUAAUACGGAGGGUGCAAGCGUUACCCGGAAUCACUGGGCGUAAAGGGCGCGUAGGCGGGUUGUCAAGUCUUGAGUGAAAUCCAACGGCUCAACCGUUGAACUGCUUGAGAAACUGGCAGCCUAGAGUAAGGGAGAGGUAGAUGGAAUUGGUGGUGUAGGGGUAAAAUCCGUAGAGAUCACCAGGAAUACCCAUUGCGAAGGCGAUCUGCUGGAACUUUACUGACGCUGAGGCGCGAAAGCGUGGGGAGCAAACAGGAUUAGAUACCCGGGUAGUC
rnacentral:rRNA from 1 species